GGCCAGUGUCAUCAUCUGUAUGUGAUGGACCAGCAGCACCGUUUGAAGGGAGAGGGCCCUGCCAAAUGACUGCUGUCUUCCCAUUGGCGCAACAGGGUUGCGUAGGACAUCUUGAUCAAUGCGGAAUGAGCUUAUGCAAUCUGAUCAGCUGGUUUCCUGCUUCUGUUGCUGUGCCCUCCCUGUCUGUUGCUAUGUGCUCCCCGCUAUAAUGAAUGUAUCCCACUGGAAACAUAAGCCAAAAUAAACUACAGUCCUUUAAA